AGGUAAAGGAAAUCUUCCCAGAUCCCCCAGAGAAUCUGUGAUCAUAGCUUGGGGCUUUGAAAAGUGGUGAAUCAACUGCUUACAGAGAUCAAACACCAAGCUCUGGAUGAGGAAUUUUGGGUGGAUAACAUCAACAUCCUUUGUUCACCCAUUCAUCCAGUGGUUAAACUGUCUGGUAGGAGCAGCUGAAACAUAGAUCAAGAGAAUUAUGGCACACACUGAUGUCUGAUAAAAUAAGGUAUGUGGCUGCACUCUGCAGGAAAAAUAGUAACAUAAGGAGGAGAGAGACGUGGAUGUAUGGGUAAGUGUGGUCAGCGCUAUGGAGACAAGAAGGGAUAGGCCAGAGUCAAGUCACAAGGCCAGGAAGCCAAGUUUGGUCUGUAGCUGUGCAACUGUAUGAACUUGACCAAACCACGUAGACUAAACCUCCUUGU